rnacentral:rRNA from 1 species
ACCGCUGAAAGCAUCUAAGCGGGAAACUUGCCUCAAGAUGAGAUCUCACUGGAGCCUUGAGCUCCCUGAAGGGCCGUCGAAGACUACGACGUUGAUAGGCAGGGUGUGUAAGCGCUGUGAGGCGUUGAGCUAACCUGUACUAAUUGCCCGUGAGGCUUGACCAUAUAACACCCAAACAAUU